AAUAUUCAGCUUUUGAUUGUUGUCUAAAAUGAUUCCCAUUGCGCUUGACUUACAGGACUUGAUCUAGUUCAGUGUGAAAAGACUGCAUGCAGUUGUCGUUUUCAGCGUGUUUUCUCUGCAAACACCUCCUGAACAAGCUUUCUACCCUGCACCGAGACGAGACGAUGCACCCACCUCAGAUGUUUCUUUAUAAACGAUCCCUCUAAUCUGCCGGAGAUCACAAUACUCCAGCGUAUUUACACUCGCAGCAGCACACAGUCUGUCCUCUCCUGCACAAAUAUACAGCACCUCGAUUAAGAAAUAAUACAAUUUAGAAAGAGCGGGGUGUUUUAUUCUCUCAUGUUGGGGAAAUAUGCUCUCUAAUCCUCCAGUAUAAGGACCAUCUGUGUAAAUGUGGCUCUGGUGGGACGGGACAGUCACGAUUCUGACAUAUGAAUCCAGUGAUACGGAUGGUUACUGCUGGCGUCAGGACAAUCCACAUGCAUUACAGAGGAUCCGCUUACUAAACAAGUAAUCAUGAGACAAAGAUUGGAACUACAAAAAUAAAGCAUGUUUUCAGACUACA
ensembl:lncRNA